rnacentral:rRNA from 1 species
UACAGAGGGGGCAAGCGUUAUUCGGAAUUAUUGGGCGUAAAGGGCGCGUAGGCGGCCUGGCAAGUGGAAGGUGAAAUCCCUCGGCUCAACUGAGGAACUGCCUUUGAAACUGUCGUGCUUGAGGCCGGGAGGGGUAGCGGAAUUCCCAGUGUAGCGGUGAAAUGCGUAGAUAUUGGGAGGAACACCAGUGGCGAAGGCGGCUACCUGGACCGGUUCUGACGCUGAUGCGCGAAAGCGUGGGGAGCAAACAGG